rnacentral:rRNA from 1 species
GACGAACCGUGCGAACGUUAUUCGGAAUCACUGGGCUUAAAGCGCGUGUAGGCGGGUCGGCGCGUCGGUCGCUGAAAUCCCCCGGCUCAACCGGGGAACGGGCGCCGAGACGGCCGGCCUGGAGUGGAGGAGGGGGGCCUGGAACUUCCGGUGGAGCGGUGAAAUGCGUUGAGAUCGGAAGGAACGCCGGCGGCGAAAGCGAGGCCCUGGACUCCAACUGACGCUGAGACGCGAAAGCCAGGGGAGCGAACGGG